GCGGGCGUGGCGUAGUGGCAGCGCGCGACCCUUCCAAGGUUGAGGUGCGGGUUCGAUUCCCGCCGCCCGCUCCA
rnacentral:tRNA from 5 species